ensembl:lncRNA
UUUAAGGGCUGAUCCCUGUUGGGGAAGGAUCUCUCUCUCUGGAGAUUGUUCCUUGUGAUGCUUUCUUGUGAGUCUACAACACUGACAAGAGCAAAGCCAAACAAGGGAGCAGCUAAGUGCGUAGAGGAGAUAUCUUCAGCUGUUACCCAUCAUUUCUGGAUGUGGGCGAGGAGUUAGGUGUCGAGCUUUUGUUGAUUUUUUUCACUUGGAAAGAAUGUAAAAACAUUGCUAAAGUAAUGGACUCCAACAAAGAUCCAAUUUCACUUUAGGGGUGUUCCUGUUAAUGGCCACUGAUCUGAAGUUUGAGAGCAAGCUGAUGGUAAACUGAGGGCACAAAUGUGUGGGGAGACAGAAAGAAGCUGGGAAUGUGCUUUUGGAUGCCCUCCUUGCCUUUUCAGAAGGGGUCAGGGAGUCUGCUCUCAUGGAUGGAUGGAAGAUGGCGUCAGGAUAGCCUCUCUUCUGCCAGUUACACAUCAAAUAGAGGAGAACUUGUUUGCACAGGGCCUUUCUUCUGAGAUAAAUGGUAACAUACUGGGAGGACCGUGCUGUGGAAGCGGUGAAGCUGAUACCUUUGUUCAGCGUCUUGCUUUUCUCUUUUCAUGCUAUGCAUACGGCUACAGAGCAGCACAACAUGCUGUGCUGUCCAUGCACAGCGUUAUCCACUGUUCGGUGGGUAAGGCACACUUUGUGUAUUCAUGUCACAUCUCUGGCAGGGCACUGAGAGCUUCAGAAAAACAGGAGCUGAAGGAGCUCACUGGAGACAUUUCAGUAGGACAGCUUGCUUUUUCAGAUUUUAAGCUGUAAUUUGUUUAAGUGUAAUUAAUUUUGUUUUUCUGAGAAGAGCAGAAGGAUUUCAGUUCCAAGGAACUGAACAUGAAAUGAAGUGCCACAAAAAUAAAUAAAUAGAUGGAUAGAUGCUUUUCCAAAUGCCUAUGUAACCGUAUAGUCUCUGUUUUGAUAGAAAUAACAUCUUUUGUCAGAAACAGCUUCUGACAGUAGCUUCCUCCCCAGAUAAAAGUAACAGUUUUAAAGCUAAUGUUUUUUUUCUGUCACCAAACCUAAGCAUAAGCAACCCCACUCAAGGACUGCUAAUAGUGGACUACUGAUGAGCUGUAAACUGAAGACUUCUCAGCCUUUAAGCAUCUCCCUAAUUUCAUAUUAUGCAGCUGUUGUUGGCAGUAGAUUUGGUUAAAAUGACAUCACCUUCGUUAAUUCAUGCUCCUGUAGAAUCAAUUGGACAGCCUCAAAUAGAGUAUUUUACCUUUUUCCACGCAAGAUGUAUAAGAUGUCUUGAAUUUAAAAUAAACAAAAUAGAACAAAAUCGAAAAAAAAAAAAAACCCAUAACCUUCCAUUCUUAUUACAGCAGAUGUAAGGAGACUCUUCUUGACUUUGAUUGUGCAAACACUGUGGCCAUUUGGACAUAAGAAGACCCAGUUGAAUAGAAAUUGAAG